UACGUAGGGUCCGAGCGUUGUCCGGAAUUAUUGGGCGUAAAGAGCUCGUAGGCGGUCUGUCGCGUCGGCUGUGAAAAACUCAGGGCUCAACCCUGAGCCUGCAGUCGAUAUGGGCAGACUAGAGUUCGGUAGGGGAGACUGGAAUUCCUGGUGUAGCGGUGAAAUGCGCAGAUAUCAGGAGGAACACCGGUGGCGAAGGCGGGGUCUCUGGGCCGAAACUGACG
rnacentral:rRNA from 1 species